rnacentral:rRNA from 1 species
GAGUUCAAGAGUACGUGAAACCGUUCAGGGGUAAACCUGAGAAACCCGAAAGGUCGAACGGGGAGAUUCAGGCGCGUAUCGUGAAAGUCGGCGAGUCGUUGACGCGCGACGGACGGCGUUCGCGCGCCGUGCCGCGCCAUUUUCGACCGUCCGACAGCGAACGCGUGCACUUCUCCCCAUGUAGGACGUCGCGACCCGUUGGGCGCCGGUCUAAGGCCCGCGGCGAAGACCGAACGUCCUCGUGCGUUCGGGCCCGCGGUGUCCCGGCCGGCGCGGAUCGACUAUCGACAACCGACGGUAAAACCAGUGGCGCGGGGCCGCGACCAGUUCGCGUCCGGCUCGCGGCAAGCGCGUUCGGUCAAUCCGACGUUCGGACCCGGUGCCGAAUUCGGACCCGUUCGGCUGCUGGCCGCGAUGUUCUCGGACAGACCCCGUACACGCCGGUCGGCGACGCUAUAGCUUUGGGUACUUUCAGGACCCGUCUUGAAACACGGACCAAGGAGUCUAGCAUGUGCGCGAGUCAUUGGGACCGCACUAAACCUAAAGGCGUAAUGAAAGUGAAGGUUCGUCCCGAACGAACCGAGGGAGGACGGGUCGUUUCGCGGAACGGCCCCGCACUCCCGGGGCGUCUCGUUCUCAUCGCGAGAGGAGGCGCACCCAGAGCGUACACGCUGGGACCCGAAAGAUGGUGAACUAUGCCUGGUCAGGACGAAGUCAGGGGAAACCCUGAUGGAGGUCCGUAGCGAUUCUGACGUGCAAAUCGAUCGUCGGAACUGGGUAUAGGGGCGAAAGACUAAUCGAACCAUCUAGUAGCUGGUUC